CGCGCCACAGCCCGCCGGUAGCCGGCACCCAGCGCGUUCAGGAGGGGCCGCUGCCUCGACGCUGCAGCUCCUAUGCCGUUAGUAUUGUGUUUUACGGCUGUAAAUAGAGCGUUCUCAGGAAGAACACCGUUCGGUUCCCCUUCCGGCUGUCCGUCCCGUGACAGUCCUGUUACCACACUUAUCAAGCACAGAUUAAGGGUGAACGGAGUCCACCAGCGGAGUUGCAUUGCAUUUGUAUGGGAGAGGAAGGAGAGAAUUUGAAUCAAAAGCUGCACGCAAGCAAUCUCAGGAAGCCCCUAGCAGAAACCCAAAGGACGAACUCCCAAGUGAGCUGCAUCCUGGGGACUCUGAAAGGAUACUGCGUGCGGAGGAAGGUGCUCUUCACACCAUGAUGUUCCCCCGGCCUUGGUGACUACCCAGUACUCCCUGUGCUGGGGACUGCCAAUAAAUGCUGUUACUUAACUGUUCCUCUGUCCUGC
rnacentral:lncRNA from 1 species